GGAAUCUUGCGCAAUGGACGGAAGUCUGACGCAGCGACGCCGCGUGGGCGAAGACGGCCUUCGGGUUGUAAAGCCCGUUUUCUGGAGGAAGAGGGAGGACGGUACUCCAGGAAUAAGUGUCGGCUAACUACGUGCCAGCAGCCGCAGUAAUACGUAGGACACGAGCGUUAUCCGGAUUUACUGGGCGUAAAGCGCCUGUAGGCGGUUCUUCAAGUCGUUUGUGAAAGCCCUGGGCUCAACCUGGGGAGGCCAAGCGAUACUGGAGGACUUGAGGGUGACAGAGGGGAUGGAAUUUCCGGUGUAGCGGUAAAAUGCGCAGAUAUCGGGAGGAACACCGAGUGGCGAAGGCGGCUCCCUGGGUCACACCAGACGCUGAGAGGCGAAAGCUAGGGGGAGCGAA
rnacentral:rRNA from 1 species